GAUGAACGCUAGCUACAGGCUUAACACAUGCAAGUCGAGGGGCAGCAUUCUUCUAGCAAUAGAAGAGAUGGCGACCGGCGCACGGGUGAGUAACACGUAUCCAACCUACCGAUAACUCCGGAAUAGCCUUUCGAAAGAAAGAUUAAUACCGGAUAGUAUACGAAUAUCGCAUGAUAUUUUUAUUAAAGAAUUUCGGUUAUCGAUGGGGAUGCGUUCCAUUAGUUUGUUGGCGGGGUAACGGCCCACCAAGACUACGAUGGAGAGGGGUUCUGAGAGGAAGGUCCCCCACAUUGGAACUGAGACGCGGUCCAAACUCCUACGGGAGGCAGCAGUGAGGAAUAUUGGUCAAUGGGCGCGAGCCUGAACCAGCCAAGUAGCGUGAAGGAUGAAGGCUCUAUGGGUCGUAAACUUCUUUUAUAUGGGAAUAAAGUUUUCCACGUGUGGAAUUUUGUAUGUACCAUAUGAAUAAGGAUCGGCUAACUCCGUGCCAGCCGCCGCGGUAA
rnacentral:rRNA from 1 species